rnacentral:rRNA from 1 species
UACGGAGGGUGCGAGCGUUGUCCGGAAUCACUGGGCGUAAAGGGCGCGUAGGCGGCAGGCCAAGCGUGCGGUGAAAGUCCGGGGCUCAACCCCGGAUCUGCCGUGCGGACUGGUUUGCUAGAGCACUGUAGAGGCGAGUGGAAUUCCGGGUGUAGCGGUGGAAUGCGUAGAGAUCCGGAAGAACACCGAUGGCGAAGGCAGCCCCCUGGGCUGACACUGACGCUCAGGCACGAAAGCGUGGGGAGCAAACAGG